UUACGGGACGCACCAGUGGGGAAUAUUGGACAAUGGGCGCAAGCCUGAUCCAGCAAUGCCGCGUGAGUGAAGACGGCCUUAGGGUUGUAAAACUCUUUCGCUAGGGAAGAUAAUGACUGUACCUAGUAAAGAAGUCCCGGCUAACUCCGUGCCAGCAGCCGCGGUAAUACGGAGGGGACUAGCGUUGUUCGGAAUUACUGGGCGUAAAGAGUUCGUAGGCGGACUGGCAAGUUAGAGGUGAAAUCCCAGGGCUCAACCCUGGAACUGCCUUUAAAACUGUCAGUCUAGAGACCGGAAGAGGUUAGGGGAAUACCUAGUGUAGAGGUGAAAUUCGUAGAUAUUAGGUGGAACACCAGUGGCGAAGGCGCCUAACUGGUCCGGUACUGACGCUGAGGAACGAAAGCGUGGGGAGCAAACAGGAUUAGAUACCCGAGUAGUC
rnacentral:rRNA from 1 species